rnacentral:rRNA from 1 species
UUCAAAAAAAUAUAAAAGUAUUUUAAUAAAUAUUUUAUCGGCUAUAUUUAAGGUUGUAAAUAUAUUUUAUUUUUCAGAUCUAAAAGGAUAAGCUUUUAGAUUUAAGAUAAUUAAGAUUUAUAGUAUUAAAUAUAAAGUUAUGUGGGCUUAGAAUUAGCCAUUAUUAAAGUUUGUUAUAAGAUAUCUUCUUAAAUAAUCAUAAAAUUUUUGUAUUUUUAUUCUAAUAAUCUAAUGAAGAUAACAAUUUCAAUUAAAGUAAAUUUUUUGCCUAUGCUAAAAUGAGUAUUAUAUUAACUUUUAAAUAAUUUAUAUAAUUAUCUUUAUUAAUGUUAAAAGCACCAAUUAGGAAAAAGGAACUCGGCAAAAUUUGUUUCGCCUGUUUAUCAAAAACAUGGCUCUUUGUAUGAUAUAAAUAAAGAGUCUAACCUGCCCAGUGAAAUUUUUAACGGCCGCGGUACUCUGACCGUGCAAAGGUAGCAUAAUCAUUUGCCUUAUAAUUAAAGGCUAGUAUGAAUGGUUUAACGAAAACAAAACUGUCUCCUUCCUAAUAUCUAAAAAUUAACCUAUAGGUGAAGAGGCCUAUAUAGAAUUAAAGGACAAGAAGACCCUAUCGAGCUUAAAAGAUAUUAUAGAAAUAAAAUAUCUAUUGAAAUAUAUAAUUCAUUAAGCUUUUUAGUUGGGGCGACUAAGGAACAAAUAAAGCUUCUUUUUUUAUAUAUAACAUAUAAGUUCAGAUCCAAUAUAUUCAUUGAUCAAAAGAAUUAGUUACCGUAGGGAUAACAGCAUAAUCUCUCUUAAGAGAUCUAAUCGAAAGAGGGGAUUGUGACCUCGAUGUUGGAUUAGAGUAUCCUCAAGAUGCAGAUGUCU